rnacentral:misc_RNA from 1 species
GAUGAAGAACGUAGUGAAAUGCGAUACGUAGUGUGAAUUGCAGAAUUCAGUGAAUCAUCGAAUCUUUGAACGCACAUUGCACCUCUCGGUAUUCCGGGAGGUAUGCCUGUUCGAGCGUCAUUUGUACCCUCAAGCUCUGCUUGGUGUUGGGUGUUUGUUCCGCCUCUGUGUGUGAACUCGCCUCAAAACAAUUGGCAGCCGGCGUACUUGUUUCGGAGCGCAGCACAUUUUGCGAUCCAGAUCAACGUACAGCGGCAUCCAAGAAGCCUUAUUUAACGCUCUUGACCUCGGAUCAGGGAGGGAUACCCGCUGAACUUAAGCAUAUCAAUAGGCGGAGGA